rnacentral:lncRNA from 1 species
GCUUCACAGGAGGCCCCGUUUUGAGAGGUGCAUGAACGUGUGGCCCACGUUCAACAACACUCAGGAGAGGGGAAAGAAUGUUCAGGACACACUGAAUUUCCAAGACGUACAGAUCUCUCCAAGCAUCCCAAAAGGCGUAUGUUCCUGGUGGGGCCGAGGGCCUGCUCUUGGAGACAGAUGGCGAGCAGCGGUCAGCAGCUACUGAGAGCUCAACUUCCCCUCUAGAGACAGGCUCUGCCCCUCAAGUCCACCUGGGUCUUGGCUCUCUGAAUCCUGUCCGAGGGUGGCGAACUUGAGGC